UAGCAUUUCUGUGUUUGGAGAUCUCAGC
rnacentral:piRNA from 1 species